rnacentral:rRNA from 1 species
UCUAGUGGCAAUGGCGAAGAGGUCACACCCGUUCCCAUCUCGAACACGGAAGUUAAGCUCUUCAGCGCCGAUGGUAAUUGGGGGCUGUCCCCCUGUGAGAGUAGGACGUCGCUAGGC